CGAAAAUAUAGAUGAUAGUUUAGUAAUUGAGCUACGAACCAGUGAAAGUCGGUUCCCAGUUUCGGGAUUGUUUGCUUCACUCGUCACCGUAUCUGUAUCUUUGUCAUUUGUUGCUGUUUUUAGGCGGACAAUAUCGGAGAUGGCCCCUCAAACGAGAAGAAUGGCGUUUCCGAAAGUGGUGAUUGAGAGGGACACGGACUCUGAGCAAAGCUCGUCAGACGAUGAGGAUGAUGUUGACGAAGAAGAGAAUAUUCCCCAAUCAGAAUCAGAUGCAGAAGGAGGAGGAGUGACAGAGAAUGGAAGUGGAGAGAAAGAUGAAGAGGAUAUGGAUUCCAAGAAGCAGAGGAAAGUUCCCAUUACUAUUAGUCUCAAGAAAGUUUGCAAAGUUUGCAAAAAACCUGGUCAUGAAGCGGGAUUUAAAGGAGCUACAUACAUAGAUUGCCCUAUGAAACCCUGUUUUCUCUGCAAAAUGCCUGGUGUGUGUACCAUUAGUGGCGCUCAUGCAAGUCCAAUUCUUUUUCGUUUAUAACUUGCGAAUUUUUACUUUGCUAACUUGUUUGGGACUGAUACACCGAUUAUUGCCUCCCUCACAAAAUUUGUUGUUUCGCUUUGACUUCUUUGUUUUGCUAGUGACUAUGUCUCGCGUUAUUAGAAUUUAGUUGAUUUUUUAUUUUUCAUUUUCAUAUGUUGUACGUUGAUCCUAGCAUUCUAUAACACUGCCUCGUUUGCCUAUUUGAUGGUAUAGUGAUCCUACUUUUGUAAUUUGCUGUGUGUUUUUUGUGAAUGGCAGGACACACUACGAUGACAUGCCCGCAUAGAGUGGCUACUGAGUAUGGGGUCAUUCCAGCACCCCUAAGAAAUACGCAUAAUCCAUUGGAAUAUGUUUUCCAGCGCCAGCUUAGACCAAGCAUACCCCCGGUAAACUUCUUCAACAUCAUCAUCUUCUUCUUUUCUCUCCUUGGAAUGACUUGUAAGAUUGUUCGUCCUGUUUAUUAAGGGCCUUUGGGCUUCCCCUUAUUGGAUCUGAUUGACAGCUUAACAACUGCAUAUUUAUGAGGUUUAAAAAGCCUGAGAUUGUUUUUCUCUUGAAAUUUUUGAGGCCAGGAUCUCUGCUUAAAUCUGUUGGUAUCAUAGCAUUGCAAUGGUGCUGCCCUUUAUGCUUUCAACAACAUUAUGUGAUUAUUUGUUUCUCCCAAAUAACUCAUUUACUUUAUCUUAUUAUGGAAGACUCCUCUUUCUAAGCAUUUGGUGUAUGGUAUACAUUCAAUGUUUUAGAAGUUAAUAAAUUUCAAAUUGGAUGCUUAGUUAUUUGCUAUAUAUGAUCUUCAUGAUAUAUAAUUUUUAUUGAUCUCCCGAUGCAGUAAGGGUGAUCUCAAUUUACUGUUUUCUUUUGUCUUGCACAAUAGAUAAAGCCAGCAUAUGUCAUACCAGAUCGAGUAUGUUGUGCGGUAAUUAGAUAUCACAGCAGGCGGGUGACUUGUUUGGAAUUUCACCCAACAAAAAAUAACAUCCUUCUAUCUGGGGAUAAGGCGAGUCUCACUUUACAAUUAUAUGUUUCUAGUUGGAGGAAGUUCAUUUUAAGUAAAGUUUUAUAUUUUCUGUUGUAUUUACUUGUCCCCACUUUUCUUUUUUUGGUUCUACUUAAAAGAAAGGACAAGUUGGAGUCUGGGAUUUUGAGAAAGUGCAUGAAAAAAUGGUAUAUGCAAACAUACACACUUGUAUUGUCAAUAACAUGAGGUGAGUUAUCUGUUACGAAGUCUUAAUGUUUUUAUUUGUUUUUGGUUUCUUCUUGGGUAUAUAACUGUCUGCUUGUUUGUUUGCACUAGUCAGAAUGGCAAAUUGAUAUCCAAAUUUUUGCAGGUUCAACCCUUCAAAUGAUGGUAUGGUGUAUGCUGCUUCCUCAGAUGGAACCAUCAGUUGCACUGACAUGGAGACUGGAAUUUCAUCAUCUUUGUUGAACCUUAACCCUGAUGGGUGGCAGGGACCAAGCAGCUGGAGAAUGCUUUAUGGCAUGGAUGUCAACUCAGAGAAACAUGUUGUACUUAUAGCUGAUAACUUUGGUUUUCUCUAUAUGUAAGUUUCUUCUUCUUAUACACUUCUUUUGUACAUAAAACUUUAGAUGCAUGUGAAGGUGAAGAUGAAAUGGGAGAUGAGAGAUUUAAGCAGCUGAUGGGAAGAAUACCCUAUUAGCAAUUCUUUGAAUCUUAUGGUUAGCAAGUAAAUGAUUCGUUGCAAUCUAGUGGCAAGGUUGUCAAUUUGUCAUUUAAAUUGAUGGUCCACCUUUAGGAGGAAUGGAGAUGUAAAAUUUUCUGAUGUUUUCCCUAUUAUGAGUAGAAUGAGGGCAGUGGGAUUGAAUAAAGGAAAUAUUGAUGUAGAAACAUGGAAAUGAAUUUUGAAAUGAGAUUUAAGAUCCCAUGUCUCAUGAAUGGCAAAAGGUGAUGCUUUUGCUUGGUGGUCAUUUUCUUUGUGCAACCUCUAAUAUAGGGGAUCCUUAAUUAUUAUUUUUGUAUGUGGCAUACUCAGGAUAGAUAUGCGCUCCAACAAUAAAUGUGGGGAGGCAGUUUUGAUCCAUAAGAAAGGUAGCAAAGUCGUUGGCCUUCAUUGCAAUCCUGUUCAUCCAGAGCUUCUUUUGAGCUGUGGAAAUGAUCAUUUUGUGAGUUGUUAAUUUCAUUAGAAACCUAAACUCUCUGUUUGAUUUAAUAAUUGAUGAGCCAUUUGGCUUUGUAUAAUGUUUUUUUUAACUCUGCUUUUCCUCUUUUUUCUUCUAUUUAAUUGAAUUUCCCCUUGUGGAAAAUUUCUAUAUGAAACAUGUUUGGUUCUCCAACCAUCUUGUAAAUAUAUGUUUUUAGCUCUAAAAUUAGGGUAAUAUCUUUACCUCAGGCUCGUAUAUGGGAUAUGCGUCGACUCGAAGCAGGAUCUUCUCUUAGUGAUCUGGUGCAUAAACGUGUUGUUAAUUGUGCAUAUUUCUCUCCACUGUCUGGCAGCAAAAUUCUUACAACUGCACAAGAUAACCGUCUUCGUGUGUGGGAUUCUAUAUUUGGAAAUUUGGACUCCCCAAGCCGAGAGAUUGUACAUAGUCAUGAUUUCAACAGACAUCUGACUCCUUUUCGAGCUGAAUGGGAUCCUAAGGACCCUUCAGAGUCUCUCGCAGUUAUUGGUCGUUAUAUAAGUGAAAAUUAUAAUGGUGCUGCUUUGCAUCCCAUUGAUUUCAUAGAUGUCAGCACUGGGCAAUUAGUUGCCGAAGUUAUGGAUCCAAAUAUCACAACCAUCAGUCCUGUGAACAAGCUACACCCUCGGGAUGAUAUUUUGGCAUCUGGCAGUUCAAGGUUCCACUCUGUUCUCUCAAGACUUCAUAUGAAAUGGUGUUUAAAGACUGUUUUUGUCUAGACCACUGGACUGUGACUUUUUAGCAUGCAUGAGUAAACUCUCUUAUGAAUUCUUUUGCCAUGUCUAAGAAAUCAUAAAUGUUUUCUUGUUUUUAGGGUACAUAGAUUCUAGAGAAACCAGAUUACUGAUGAGUUCUAGUGAUAAUUAAUUAGAUCCGAUAUGUUUAAUAUGUCAGUUGGCUCAGAUUAAAAGUUUUUCAGUGGUAUUUUUACCCUUUGUCAAGUUUAUAUUAGGACUUCUGCAGAACAACAUUGUCUGGUAUUGGAUGUGCUAGAAAAGUUGGAAAUUAAACAAUGGAGAAUAGGCCAUCCCCAUUUCCCAUCCCCAACACUCCAAAUGAUUCCAUAAAAAUAUUUGGUGGAUGGGGAGGAAUUUGAACUUCUGAGCUUCCAUUCUCCAGAGACGUGGGGAGACCAAACAGGCUACAUUUGAUAGACUAUUCCUGUACUUCUUCUAUGUUAUUGUGGUGUUGUCUUUUAGCAGCUGUCUUUUGUAGUCUAAUUAAGAUGCUCUUUCAGGUCCCUUUUCAUUUGGAAGCCCAAGGAGAAGUCUGAAGUCGUGGAACAGAAGGACGAGGGUAAGAUUGUUAUUUGUGGAAGUGCUGAGAAGAAGUUCAAACGGAGGUUUUGGGGUGGAAGUGAUGAUUCUGAUGAUGAUGGAUUUAAAUCCAAAGGCAAGAAUUUUAAGCUAAAGAAGUCUCAGUCAAAGGCAGCUCACUGUCCUCGCAAGGUUAAACGCUAGGCUAAGAAAUGUGAUCAUCCUUGGAAUACCUCUUAUCUUUCGCUGCAAUGGACGAAAUUUUUUGUC
rnacentral:misc_RNA from 1 species